rnacentral:lncRNA from 1 species
AACCCAAUUUUCAGACUAUUAUUGUUCUAUUGAAUCCUCCUAGGAUCUGCCGCCCCCAUCUUCUGCUCUGCUUUUAUUAGUGGUGUUUUCAACUCCUUUCGCCAGCGUGGUGCUACUUCUGCCAUGUAGCUCCAAGUUAUCUGUAGAAGAUCAUCAUCAGAAGGAUUAAUAUUCCUUGAAAAUACUGGAAAAAAAACUCUGCUAAACAGAUCCACGACAAGGACGUACCCUACUCUCUAUUUACAAUAUUAAGCAUAUAUCGAACAGAUCUAUCAUUGCAGAUCAAGAAAGAAAGAAAAAAGAAGAAGAAAACAAGAGGACUUGUAUUCCAAAAAAAUACUAAACAACUCUUUAAAAACGUGUUCUGUGUUUAACAGAUUCUUUAAAGGGACGUUUCUACAUACCCUUAUAUAUUCUUGAUAUAAUUUUUAUUCAAAAAAAAAUUAAUUUCAGAUUUCAUAAUUCUGAGAUGGCUGAACCAGUUGAAACCCAACUCAAGAGGCUUCAAAUUAAACAAGAUACAGAGGCGGAGAGAAUGAGAAAUAUGGAACUUACCUUAGCAAAGAUGAAUAAAUCUUUAAUGUUGCUGAGUAAUCCAAAAAUUCAAACACAAUUGAAUUUUGACCAGAAAUCUAAAUCAAUUAGGACUGAAAUGCCAAAAUUUGAUAAGGAAAAUGUCCAAGGAUGGAUCUACAAGGCAAAAAAAUAUUUGAGAUAUCAUAAUAUUCCUGAUGAAGAAAGAAUUAUUGUUGCUACCUUCAAUAUGGAAGGUGAAGCUCCGGAGUGGCUCUUAUGUGCUGAUAAUAACAAUGCCCUGAAGUCAUGGUCUGAUUUUCU